rnacentral:rRNA from 1 species
AUGAACGCUGGCGGCGUGCCUAAUACCUGCAAGUCGAGCGAACGGACGAGAAGCUUGCUUCUCUGAUGUUAGCGGCGGACGGGUGAGUAACACGUGGAUAACCUACCUAUAAGACUGGGAUAACUUCGGGAAACCGGAGCUAAUACCGGAUGAUAUUUUGAACCGCAUGGUUCAAAAGUGAAAGACGGUCUUGCUGUCACUUAUAGAUGGAUCCGCGCUGCAUUAGCUAGUUGGUAAGGUAACGGCUUACCAAGGCAACGAUGCAUAGCCGACCUGAGAGGGGGAUCGGCCACACUGGAACUGAGACACGGUCCAGACUCCUACGGGAGGCAGCAGUAGGGAAUCUGCCGCAAUGGGCGAAAGCCUGACGGAGCAACGCCGCGUGAGUGAUGAAGGUCUUCGGAUCGUAAAACUCUGUUAUUAGGGAAGAACAGAUGUGGAAGUAACUGUGCACAUCUUGACGGUACCUAAUCAGAAAGCCACGGCUAACUACGUG